rnacentral:tRNA from 1 species
GGGGCGAUGAUGCUCAAAUCGGGCCAGCUGCGUCCACGAUUAGGCACGAACUAGGCACCCCUUGGCUGAGAAAUCCUUUGAAAGCUGCUUUUAUGACGGACUUAAAAUCCGCAGGUGGCGACACUGUGGGGGUUCAAGUCCCCCUGCCCCCA